ACGCGAAGAACCUUACCAAGGCUUGACAUAUACAGGAAUAUGGCAGAGAUGUCAUAGCCGCAAGGUCUGUAUACAGGUGGUGCAUGGUUGUCGUCAGCUCGUGUCGUGAGAUGUUGGGUUAAGUCCCGCAACGAGCGCAACCCUCGUUCUGUGUUGCCAGCAUUUAGUUGGGGACUCACAGGAGACUGCCGGGGUUAACUCGGAGGAAGGUGGGGAUGACGUCAAAUCAUCAUGCCCCUUAUGUCUUGGGCUGCACGCAUGCUACAAUGGCUGGUACAAACGGCUGCGAUACCGCAAGGUGGAGCGAAUCCGAUAAAGCCAGUCUCAGUUCGGAUUGGGGUCUGCAACUCGACCCCAUGAAGUCGGAGUUGCUAGUAAUCGUAGAUCAGCAACGCUACGGUGAAUACGUUCCCGGGCUUGUACACACCGCCCGUCACGUCACGAAAGUC
rnacentral:rRNA from 1 species